AAAAAGACAAACCCUGGGUUUCCGUGUCCAACGUUUGACUGUCCGUCUAAUAUAAAUUUUUUAUAAUUAGUAUUUUUUAUUAUUAUUAGAUGAUUAAACAUGAUUAAUACUUUAUACGUAACUUGUCUUUUUUUUCAUAUUUUUUUUAAAUAAGACGGACGGUCAAACGUUGGACACGGAAAUCUAGGAUUUGUCUUUUU
rfam:Oryza nivara chromosome 11, whole genome shotgun sequence.